GAAAAUGCACCUUGGUAAUGAAUGCUGUUGCUACAGCUUAGUACCAGAACUGUCUCUUUAAAAUUUACCUGAAAGCGCCCUUGUUUCUGCUACUCUGUCUUCUGAUCACACUGAGGCUUCCUGAGGUUUCCUUACAUGGCCUGCUUGGCAUGCCGUGCCUCCUAUUUCUAGGCCAUAGCACUUAAAAUCCACUCUCUUAUAAAUUUUCAGGGAGAAGAGGCAAGAUGGCCAACUAUAUGCAGGCAGGAAGAACAUCUCCCACAAAAAGACCAGAUAGAGAAGACUGGCACGCUCUGAGCAGACCUUCGGAAGGAAGGCAUUGAGAAUAGACGGAGGGAGGAUGCAAACCCUGAGCUGCAGGGGGAGUAAGGAUUUAAAUAUUUCACAGUUGAAUUUUGAGGAAAAACAACUCCAUGUUUAAUGUUUUUACUGCUCCUUAAGGCUCCAAGUCAGGAUUUAAGACCCUGCCUUGAAAACCUUAAUAGAAGAUGAAACUAUGCUAACUAGGACAAUGGAAAUUCAUGUAUCUACGUGGAAGGAUCCUUUGUGUGUGUGUGUGUGUGUGUGUGUUGGUGGGAAUCUCUACUGGGUAGCUCCUCACUGUAGUGGGAGAAAAAAAUACAUUAAAAAUAAUACAGGGGCUGGGUGCGGUGGCUCAUGCCUGUAAUCCCAGCACUUCGGAAGGCUGAGACAGGCGGAUCACGAGGUCAAGAGAUCGAGACCAUCCUGGCCAACAUGGUGAAGUGCCGUCUCUACUAAAAAUACAAAAAUUAGCUGGGCAUGGUGGUGCGCACCUGUAGUCCCAGCUACUCGGGAGGCUGAGGCAGGAGAAUCACUUGAACCUGGGAGGCGGAGGUUGCAGUGAGCCGAUAUUGUGCCAUUUCAUUCCAGCCUGCCGACAGAACAAGACUCCACCUCAAAAAAAAAUAAUAAUAAAAUAAUAAUAAUAAUAAAGGAUGCUACUCUAUGAAAAUAUAUUUAAAAGGCAUUAUUUUCUCCUCUGCUUGGGGAACAGAGUUAAAGCUGUUCUGAGGACUCUGAAAAAUUUCUCAGAGGUCUGAAGUCAACAGACACUCCCCUAUGGCCUCAGUUUCACAUGUAAUUUUUCUUUUCCAUGCACACAUGCCCCUCUGCAAUGCCCUUUGAGAUUCAUUUUCCCUUUUAAGCCUGCCUGCAUGAGGCUGCAUUUCAUACAGAAAUUGUUAUCUCUCUUUAUUACUCUGUUACUCUUCCCAAGAAAAAGGGAAUACUAAUUUUAUUGGUCAGAUUUUGGAAUACUUUAUAGAAAAUUUACUAUUGUAUGCGGUCACUGCAAAUUAAGAGGUUGUACAUAUGAUAUUGAGGUAUAGCAUUGAAACUCUUUAAGUUCAAUGUUAAAAUAGACUUUGAAUGAAUGAAAUAAAAUAGGCUCUAAAUCUACAGUUCUUUCCCUAAUAUUCAUCUUAAGUCUUCAAAACCAGAUUCCAUGUAAUAGUCAGACAAUGGCAUGGUGAAUUUUCUUGUUUUCCUUUUCCUCCCAGAUAACUAAGUUUUAUUUUCUCUGUCAUUCAUAUCUUCAGCCCAGAAACCCAGUUCCAGACCACUGUAAGCAAGGCUAUAGGUAUAGAUAAAAUAAACUUUUUUCUUGUCUAGGAAUUUAUAUUGUUGUUUUUAUUAUAGGUUACCAAAGAGUUUAUUCUUAUAUCUUUUGACAUAAUAAAUGCUAAGCUUUCUCAGUUCUCUGCCUCCAGC
rnacentral:lncRNA from 10 species